rnacentral:lncRNA from 1 species
UAAUUUGUUUUUAUACGACCGCAAAAUUUGAAAAAUUUUCGUCGUAUAUUGCUAUCACGUUGGCGUCGGCGUCGUCGUCGUCGUCCGAAUACUUUUAGUUUUCGCACUCUAACUUUAGUAAAAGUGAAUAGAAAUCUAUGAAAUUUUAACACAAGGUUUAUGACCACAAAAGGAAGGUUGGUAUUGAUUUUGGGAGUUUUGG